UGAAAUGCGAUAACUAGUGUGAAUUGCAUUACUUUGUGAAUCAUCGAGUCUUUGAACGCAUAUUGCACUUUCUGUAGAGAAAGUAUGCCUGUUUGAGUAUCAUGAACACCCUCUCCACACGGUUGUGUGGGACCUGGGCCCUAAGACAGUAAGUCUUGUCUUUGGCCUUAAAGGAAGACUUGGGUGGCACUGACGAGUGGGGUCGGCUGUCGACGCGCAACAAGACCAGUUAGGCCAAGUUUGCAUUGACGCUGAUCCUGCCGCCGGGGUCGUUAGCCCAAGGCUGUGUGUCCUGUCCGUGAGGACGGACAACUUUGUAUUUUGAUCUCAAAUCAGGCAAGAUUACCCGCUGAACUUAA
rnacentral:misc_RNA from 1 species